rnacentral:rRNA from 1 species
UACGGGGGGGGCAAGCGUUGUUCGGAAUUACUGGGCGUAAAGGGCGUGUAGGCGGCCAACUAAGUCCGACGUGAAAUCCCCAGGCUUAACCUGGGAACUGCGUCGGAUACUGGAUGGCUUGAAUUCGGGAGAGGGAUGCAGAAUUCCUGGUGUAGCGGUGGAAUGCGCAGAUAUCAGGAGGAACACCGGUGGCGAAGGCGGGUCUCUGGGCAGUAACUGACGCUGAGGAGCGAAAGCGUGGGGAGCGAACAGG